CUUAGGAUAAAUUUAUUUGUAUGACCCUAAGGUACUUCCAUACCAAAGGGGACCUUUGCAUCAUGACUUGAAGUCAAAAGCCUAUUUUUUUGGGCUUAACCCCCCUACUAUGUUGCCCACGAGCCUUUCACACUGUUGAGGGGUAAUUUUGUCUCAUUCUUCUUGAGUUACUGCUUUUAUUUCUCCAAAAUUCUUUGCUUUAUGCUUUGAAACGGACUUUCUGAUAAUCCACCCAAAAUUUUCAAAGGGGUUUUUUUGUCCUGGGAUUGAGUUAGUCACUCUAAGACCUGGAUACUUCGCUCCUGCAGACAAGUUCUACUGGCCCUGGAUGGGUGGCAAGAGGCAUUAUCUUGUUGAGUUUUGACCUCAACGGAACAGUGCACAUGCAGAUUGGCACAUGUGGGUUUGGAGAAUGGCACAAUACUUGGCGAAGUUCAAUGUGCCAUUACAGACAGUGAGAUGACCAAUAUCUAUGCUUGCACUAGGAAUUUAAAAUGAAGAGCCACUUUGGCUCACUCAGAAGAAUAACAAUGAGCCACAAAAAGCCACAAAUUUCUGUGUCAGUGAUAGCGGAAAAAAAUGGAGUCAUUUUCCCGCAUUCUGGUGCAUUUUGAAGUAAAAAAUACUCAAACAG